ACGCUGGCGGCGUGCCUAAUACAUGCAAGUAGAACGCUGAAGAGAGGAGCUUGCUCUUCUUGAAUGAGUUGCGAACGGGUGAGUAACGCGUAGGUAACCUGCCUUGUAGCGGGGGAUAACUAUUGGAAACGAUAGCUAAUACCGCAUAACAAUGGGUGACACAUGUCAUUUAUUUGAAAGGGGCAAUUGCUCCACUACAAGAUGGACCUGCGUUGUAUUAGCUAGUAGGUGAGGUAACGGCUCACCUAGGCGACGAUACAUAGCCGACCUGAGAGGGUGAUCGGCCACACUGGGACUGAGACACGGCCCAGACUCCUACGGGAGGCAGCAGUAGGGAGUCUUCGGCAAUGGGGGCAACCCUGACCGAGCAACGCCGCGUGAGUGAAGAAGGUUUUCGGAUCGUAAAGCUCUGUUGUAAGUCAAGAACGAGUGUGAGAGUGGAAAGUUCACACUGUGACGGUAGCUUACCAGAAAGGGACGGCUAACUACGUGCCAGCAGCCGCGGUAAUACGUAGGUCCCGAGCGUUGUCCGGAUUUAUUGGGCGUAAAGCGAGCGCAGGCGGUUUGAUAAGUCUGAAGUUAAAGGCUGUGGCUCAACCAUAGUUCGCUUUGGAAACUGUCAAACUUGAGUGCAGAAGGGGAGAGUGGAAUUCCAUGUGUAGCGGUGAAAUGCGUAGAUAUAUGGAGGAACACCGGUGGCGAAAGCGGCUCUCUGGUCUGUAACUGACGCUGAGGCUCGAAAGCGUGGGGAGCGAACAGGAUUAGAUACCCUGGUAGUCCACGCCGUAAACGAUGAGUGCUAGGUGUUGGAUCCUUUCCGGGAUUCAGUGCCGCAGCUAACGCAUUAAGCACUCCGCCUGGGGAGUACGACCGCAAGGUUGAAACUCAAAGGAAUUGACGGGGGCCCGCAC
rnacentral:rRNA from 1 species